GCUAAUUUUGCAACAGGCCUGGCAUGGGGCAUUGAAUUAUUCAACAACAGAUGCAUUUAGCAGUUUUAUUUCUGUCUCGGUAUCCUCAGUCCCGCCCAACAGGAGCCCAGCUCUGGCAGGAGGGGCAGGUUGGCACCUCUACACAGCGGCUGGGAGCAUGGAGACCACUCACCCGUCACCUGCCACAAACCACUAGUCAUGGAGGGUGGACUCCCAGGCCACAGACUGACCAGGACUCAGACACAGGGUCUCGUUCUGUCACUCAGGCUGGAGUGCAGUGGCAAGAUCAUAGCUUGCUGCAACCUUGAACUCCUGGGCUCAAGUGAUGCUCCUACCUCAGCCUCCCGAGUAGUUGGGACCACAGGACUGUCUCCUGGCCCAGUCCCAGACAGUUCACAGCUGAGGAGGAACAAAGCAGAGGAAAGGGACGUGGCGUGACGUGCUGGGAGUGAAACGCUGACACCUCCGUGGCCAUCUGGGACCACGACCUGCACUACUGCCCUCACACCCGGACCUGGAGCUGCCACUUCCUGCCUGCUUCCCAGAAUAGCUGGGCUCAUCCUCUGAGCAGGCUGCCCUGCCUUCCUCUGUCUCUGCUCAGGACAGAGACUCCUCCUAGGACACCAAACACCCCCCACACAGCACAGACCCAGCCUCCCAGCCAACGGCCACUCACUGGAGCAAAGGGAGCCAAGUCUGGCUUUGGACAGGAAGAUGGGGUUUGCCAGGCAAGGGGUGCAGAGAUGCUGAACUUGAACAUGGAGGGGAAACAAUGAUGAUGCCAAGGGAAGGGGCCCUGGGAUCCUACCAGACCCUACCCCAAAGUCCGAAGCCACUCUUCAUGAAAUAAUAUGUGAUAUUAAAAACUUAAAUUUUCAGUUUCAUGAAACAGCAAAUAAAAGCCUUGAGAUAGUUGCUCUCCCAACCUGUGCUGUGUGCUUUUGGUAACAGAGUCCUUCCCCCAGGGACCCCCAAAUUCCCCAGUAUGGGGCAUGUGUUGUACUAAUUU
rnacentral:lncRNA from 10 species